rnacentral:piRNA from 1 species
UUCCAAAAUGUCUUGUGACACUAGUCUAAU